rnacentral:rRNA from 1 species
CACGUAGGGCGCAAGCGUUGUCCGGAAUUAUUGGGCGUAAAGAGCUCGUAGGUGGUUUGUUACGUCUGCUGUGAAAACCUAGGGCUUAACCCUGGGCUUGCAGUGGAUACGGGCAGACUAGAGGUAGGUAGGGGAGAAUGGAAUUCCUGGUGUAGCGGUGAAAUGCGCAGAUAUCAGGAGGAACACCGGUGGCGAAGGCGGCGAUCUGGGUCGAUACUGACGCUGAGGUGCGAAAGCGUGGGGAGCAAACAGG